UACGAGUGCCCCGAGCGUUAUCCGGAAUCAUUGGGCGUAAAGGGUGUGUAGGUGGUGCUAUUAGUCUUCAGUUAAAUUCUUCGGCUUAACCGGGGGCAUGCUGGGGAAACGGUAGCACUUGAGGAUGCGAGAGGUAUAUGGAACUCAUGGUGUAGGGGUGAAAUCCGUUGAUCCAUAGAAGACCACCAGUGGCGAAGGCGGCUUGCCAGAACGCGCUCGACGGUGAGGGAUGAAAGCUGGGGGAGCAAACCGG
rnacentral:rRNA from 1 species